AGCUCCAAUAGCGUAUAUUAAAGUUGUUGCAGUUAAAAAGCUCGUAGUUGGACCUGUGGUUGGGGCGGCCGGUUCGGCACUUUGUGCGGAUACUUGGCCUCCCCGGCCAUCCUUGGGUGGAAGCUGUGUGGCAUUAGGUUGUCGUGCAGGGGAUGCCCAUCUUUUACUGUGAAAAAAUUAGAGUGUUCAAAGCAGGCUUAUGCCGCUGAAUAUAUUAGCAUGGAAUAAUGAGAUAGGACCUUGGUACUAUUUUGUUGGUUUGCGCACCAGGGUAAUGAUUAACAGGGACAGUUGGGGAUAUUCGUAUUCCAUUGUCAGAGGUGAAAUUCUUGGAUUUCUGGAAGACGAACUACUGCGAAAGCAUUUAUCAAGGAUGUUUUCAUUAAUCAAGAACGAAAGU
rnacentral:rRNA from 1 species